AUGGUUGUACAAUGGGUACCCAAGGAAAAUGAAGCAGAGGAGAACAUGCAGUGCCAAAAAAGCAUAUUCGUGUGGAACAUGAUUGUGGCUCAAGGUGUCGAAUCCAGCUGCUUGAUGGGUCAACUCAGUGAUGAAGACAGUAAGGAGCUGCCCAUCAUUUUCAACAAUAAUAAUAUAAGCAGCCCAUCAUCAUGUAGGAGUACCUCAACCUCAACCUCAACCUCAGGGCUUGUGUUUCCGCGUAACAAGACAUGCUUGUCCUCAGUUAACAUGGUCAACGUUACCGAUUACUAUGUUGGUCUUCGUCUAUUUAUUAAGCCCGGAGACGAGCUGCCGAUCCGACUGCACCAUCCUGCACGGCUCGUCUUUCCGCGAAACCACACAGGCUUGUCCUCCAUUAAGAUUGUCAACAUCACCGAUUACUACGUUGGUUUUCGUAUAUUAUGGUGGCCGGAUUCGGCCGUGUCCUACCAUACACUUAGUAAAUUCGGAAUUUUGGCACCACGGUCUGCUCAAAGACUCGUCCUAGCAAGGCUAAUAAUAAAUGACAAGCAACCAGAAGAAAAGGAGCUCUUUAUCUGGAAUGCCAUUGUCAGUGACGGCAUCAAAGUCAGCGACCUGAAUUGUUCCAUGUCUUGCAACAUACAACAGAGUAUCGAGUUGCCCUUAAUUUUUGAUAAGGUAACUUCACCAACAUCACUUGUGCUGAUCAAGUUUGAACCCUCUCAAGUCUGCUUCCCCUUCCUGCCGACCAAACGUUUGUUCUCUUCAAUUAAGAUAGUCAACAUUACAGAUUAUCACAUUGGUUUCAAUACACAAGUGGAGGAAACAAAUGUGGCCUUGUACAUCAUGGAACCACCGUGUGGAAUCCUGCCACCACGGUCAACACAAGAACUGGUGGUAACAAGGGUCGCCAAGGAAGAUGCACCUCAACUGGAAGACAUACGGUGCAAAGAUAAAUACUUUGUGUGGAGCUGCUUUGUGGCUCAAGAUGUCAACGUCGGCGACCUCAUAGGAUAUAUGCCCGAAAAUGAGAGAAAGGAGUUGCCCAUAGUUUUUAGGGAGACAAGCUCAAACGAGUUGGUUCAGUUUGAUCCUUCCGACCUCAGCUUUCCCCUGUUGCCAAACCAGAGAGUCUUGUCGUCAACUAAGAUAGUCAAUAUUACAGAUCAGUACAUCGGUUUCAGAGUAUGCACCAAGAUAAGCAAUUCAGCAAGGAUAGCAGAGGAAAAGGAACUAGAAGACACUCAGUGCAACGAAAAGUUUUUGGUGUGGAACGGCAUUGUGACUGAAGAUGCGAAAGCUAGCGAUGUUAUUGAUAACAUGUCCGAGACAAAGUGUACCGAGUUGCCCAUUGUUCUUACACAGCAGACAAGUUCAUCUAUCUCAGAGGAGUUGAUCCAAUUUGAUCCACCAGAACUUCACUUUCCCAUUUUGCCAAACAAGAAGGUGUUGUCCUCAAUUAAGAUAGUGAACCUUACGGAUUACAAUGUUGGUUUCAAUACAUAUAGCAGGACAACAAGUGUGGCAUGGUACCACACAGAGCCACCGAGAGGAAUCCUACCACCACGAUCCACACAAAAACUUAUGGUAACAAGAGAAGAAAAGGAAGAUGCAUUAAAAUAUAAGCAGUUCAAUGAUAAGUACUCUGUGUGGACAGGCAUUGUAUCCGAAUGUGUCAAAGACAGCGAGCUUAGUGAUUGCAUGGCUGAACAAGAGAGCAAAGAGUUGCCCAUUGUUCUUGACAAGAUAAACUCACUAACCUCAGAUGAGCUGGUCCAGUUGGAUCCCGCUGAGCUCUGCAUGCCCCACUGGCCAAACAAGGAAAUGAAGUUCAUAGUAAAUGUAGUCAACACUACAGAUUUCUACGUUGCUUUCAAUGUAUAUAUCAUCCGCAGGAAUGCAGCGCGGGACAAGAGAACUGCAGCUGGAGCAUCGAAAGUAAUCCUGCCACCACGAUCAACUGAAAGAAGAAUACUACAUUGGAUAAUUGAUGAGACCGAGGAGCCUGUAGAAGAUUUCUUUGUGUGGAGCCGUGUUGUGACUGAGGGUGUCGAUAGCAGGGACAUCACUGGUUACAUGGUUGAGGAAGAGAGUAAGAAACUGCUCUUUAUUGUUAAUAAUAAGGUGAGUAUCUCAAAGGAGCUGAUCCAGUUUGACCCACCAGAGCUGAGCCUCCCCUUGAUGAUGAUGCCAAACAAGCCCUUGCUGUUUUCAGUUAAUAUAGUCAACAGUACAGACUACUAUGUUGGUUUUGAUAAAUAUAACCCGCAAACAAAUGUGGCCUGGUACUACACAAAACCUGCGGGUGGAGUUAUGCCACCACGGGCCACUCAAAGACUGACAAGCAACUUAUGCACCUCAGACGAGUUGAUUCAGCUUGAUCCUCCACAGCUCCCCUUCACCUUCGUUCCCAACAUGAGGGUGUCCAUGUUGCGCUUGCUUAAAAUUGUCAAUGUUACACAUCACAUUGUCGGUUUCAGCGCAUGGCCUCAUGAAGACAAUUCUGCGUCCUACACAAUCGAACCGGAUGCAGGGAUCCUGCAACCACACUCCAUGCAAGCAAUCAAGGUAAGAAGGACACCAAAGAAAAAUGAAACGGAAGGCAUACAGUGCAAAGACAAGAUUUUUGUGUGGAAUGGAAUUGUGACUGAAGGUGUCCAAGUUAGUGAUGUCGGUAUAUGCUGGAAGAAUGACGAUAAAGAGUUGCCCAUUAUUCUUACCAAGGUGAGUUUUCCAGUUAAUUUGUCAGUCUUAAGUGUCGAUUUACCCCUGUCAGUUCCAAUAACAAUAAUCCCAUUGGGAAUCGCUAAUGAGUUCAAAUUUGAACUAAAACUUAGGUACAGAUACAACUAUUAUGUCAGACAAGAAUUUAAGUAUAACUUAGGUACAAAUACAACUACUAUUACGCUAAUUGAUACAGCUAAUAACUAUGUUGACAGCCUGGAGAAAGCAGUUCAAGGUAGGAUCGGGAUGGUCAGCUAA
rnacentral:rRNA from 1 species